rnacentral:lncRNA from 1 species
AUAAGUAAAAAGCUCAUCUCCAUAACUUUUUUUUCUUAAAAGUUACUUAUUUCUAUUUUAUGUUGUAAAAAAUAAGUAACUUUAAUUUUUAGAGCUUUUUAAAAAUUAUGUUUGACCUAACUUAUCUUAAAAGUAACUUAAAAGUAAAAAAAAAACUGGCGAAACACUACCUUAGAAAUUUAAUGUUUCUUGGCUCUGUUCCAUUUCUCUUAUCUAUGGUGCUAAUGAUAACUUUCAUAGCUUGUCACCAUAUCUGUUUCUAUUUGUUUUUUAUUUGAAAGCUGAAUCAAAUAUAUAUUAAAAAGCCUCAAAGGGAGCAAAGAGAUCACCGGUCCAGAAACAUUGCCUCAAAACAUAUGAAACCCUCCACUAUGGCCAUUAGAGAUCUUUGAGAAUGAGUUUCAAUAAAAUCUUAUUAGGAAAAACCCAGUAGGAUAAAAACCUAAUGAAGGAAAAAAGAGUGUUCAAUUCUCAAAGAGGCCAAAAAUACACACAGACAAAACCCCACCCUUCCUCUAGAAAAAAACAAUAUUACAUAACAAAUGUUUAGCUCCAAAUUCAGAAUACACGCAUGAAGCUAAUCUACUAGCUUUCUACAGCCCCUUCCUUUAUGCAUACUUAUGACAUGCCAUUAUACUAGCCAUCCCACCAUUCUUUCAAAUAGGCUGCAAUUCACCAUUUGUGCCCCUGCAAUCACGACAAACCACCUGCACAAGGGAACAAACACCCAAGCGAAUCAAAAGAUUUGCAUACCUCAAGCGUGACCCUCAUAUGUCUGGCUUGAUUUGUUUGGGAUCUGGUCAGUAUUAGUCAUUCUGGUAACUCUUGGUUGUUACCCUUGCCCUUUCUGGGCUGUUCAUAGUUUCUGUGAUGUGGUCUUUGUGAAUAACUCUGAAACUUUAAUGUGUUGGAAAUUAUAAACAGUAUUUUGAUGUGGAAUAACAACCUAUUUUUAGAACUAGUACAGGGAGAGGAUGGGGUCACAACUCGAGCCAGAAGGACGUGGUUGGUGGGAAAGGAGUUGGGGUUGAAAGCAAGAGGCUCAGAGGUUUGGAAAGCUCAAAUUUGUGAAAACCACCCAAACCUCAUUUGAUCUCUUGCAUGGGGAACCUCUAGUUAACAUGGAAUGUUUGUGGGUUAGGAGGUAGCUCAGUGAAACGUAAGGCAGUUAAGAAGGCAAUAGCACAAUGACGUUCGAAUCUUCUUCUAAUUCAAGAAACUAAAUUGAGUGAAGGGAAUUUUGGUUGGCAAGAAAUAUUCAAUGACGAGCAUUUAAUUUCCAGCGUCAAUUUAUAAUUUUAUAUGGGAUGCCCAAAAUCCAAAGGCUGCUCUUAUUAUUUCUAUCAAUUUGAGCAAAGAGUCACGCACAUUAAGCUUGGGGACGUGAAAAGUUAGAGGAAGUAUAUUGCAUGGUCUUCACCUCAAGGCUUGCAUCUUAUUAAAAUGGACAAGGAGGGUUUGGUGGGAUGUUGAGAAAUAAUGUUGGUGCGGUGUGGGGAUAUUUUUCCAAAUCAAUGAAGGUAUGCAGGGCUGAUGAGGCAGAGGUGUUAGCGAUUUUACAUGCACUUUUAUUUUGUCAACAAUUUAAUGUGUUUCAGGUGGCAUUUGGGAGUGACUCUUCACUUGUAACUAGAUAUUAUACCCGUGCGUUGCACGGGUUUACCAACAAUAUCUUUUAACAUAAAAAUAUUCAAUAAAAAUUAUUAUAGUUUAACUAAAUAAAAAUUAAAUAAUUUUAAUUAUAAAUAUUAAAAAAUUGUGUUCAGAAAUUUUAAUAAAUAUUAUUUAUAGUUCUUUUUGUAUAAAUAAUUAAUAUUACUAAAAUUUAAUUAGCAUAGAAAUAAUUUUAACAAUUAAAAAUUAUUUAUUUAAUAAUAUGAAAAUUUAUUAAGUUAAUUUGAAAUAUAUAAAUUACGUAAAAAAUAUUAAGUAAUAAGUGUUUAAUGUCAUGAAAUAAGUUUUAAUAUCAUUUUUUAUAUUUCUUACCUGAAAAGUCAUUUGUUGUGACAUAUCAAGACCAAGAAGAAUAAAUUAAUUUUAAAUUUUGGAAUUAUAAUAAGUGACGACUUCAAUAGCCUUUUGAUAAAAAAAAAAUAGCCUAAAAUAUUAUCUUGUGAAUUUAAUUUUGUUUCCAACUUAUUUGGUUUACGAAUGUUUUUUCACAGCCGAUAGUCAUGAGGCUAAUCCCUUGAGGCUCUACGAUGACGUUAAGUGGAUAAGCCUAGCUUCUCACAAUAAACAUUUGUUCAACUUUGACAAUUAUUAUUUUUCUCUAUUAUGCUUCCUUGAGUAAUUUUUACUAAUAUAUUAUAGAUCAAAAAAUAUAUUUAAUUUUUUUUAUCCAUAUUAUUUAAUAUUAAAUAAUUUAAAUUUUUAAUAUUUGUCAAAUGCUAAACUUAAGAUAAUUUUAGUGUUUUUUUCUAAAAAAGUCAAAAAAUUGAUGAAUUUUGUUUUUUAAUAUAAGUACUUGAAUAUUUUUUGACAAUACCAUUUUUUUUAAUAUAUUAUUACAAAUAAAAUUUAUUAUUUGUUAAUGUAUUUUAAUACAAAGGUAUGAGAGUUUUAUGGUUUAAGGUAUGUAAUGUAAAACUCAAGUCUCAUGUACAUCUAAAUAGAAUUUUUUAAUUUUAAAUCUUUAGAGUUUAAUGGAUAUGCACUGACAGUGUAAAAUAGUUUUACACAGUCAUCCAAUAAAAACAUGCCACAUAGGAGAGAUAAUUACAUUUGACUUUAAUUUUAAUUAAAAGAAUAAGAUAUUUUAUGAUUUGGCGGAAUUCAAUUGGAUGUCUGUGUAAAACUAUUUUACACUGUCAGUGCAUAUCCAUUAAACUCAAAUCUUUAUAUCUAAAUUUUUUUUAAUAAAUAUUAUUUUCUUAUUGAAUUUAAUUUUUAAUAUUUGUGAAAUACAAAAUUCAUGUAAAUUUUGAGUUUAUGAAUAUAAUGUUGUUAUUUAAUGUAAGUAGUUGAAUAGUUUUUGACAAUAUAAAUUUUUUCAUUUUAAUUUUAUUAUUGUUUAAUCUAUUUAUUACAAAGUUAUUUUUGUAUGUUUUUAAUACAAUGUAACACUUGAGCUUUUCUUAUGUAUUUAAUGUUAAAGCUCAAGUGUGCUUUACAUAUAUAUAUAGAUAUAGAUGGGUUGGGGCCGGGGUAUUGUGGCGAGGAAAGGCCGUGACGAAUUUCAUUGAAUUGAUUAUCUUAUGACGCUUGGUUUUUGUUAUGAUGUUAGUCAUAUUCUAAGAGAGGGAAAUUCUGAGGCAGAAGUUUUGGCCAAGGAAGGGGACAGGGGGUUGCAAGCAAUCCUGUGUAGGUUUUUCAUGGGCAUAUUGCUUUGUAAUUAAUAUUCGACUUUUGAGACUUGGUUCUCUUUUAUCUUCAUGAAUAAAGUUGGGUUUUCAAAAGAAUAAAUAAAAAAUUAUUAUUUUCAAUUUAUUUGGUUUCUAAAUGUUUCCCCACAGUUGAUAUCCAUGAUUAAUCCCCUCGAGACUCUACGAUCGCGUUAAGUGGAUAGAUCUCUCACAACAAAAAUUUAUACAACUUAUGUCAUUAUUAUUUUUCUCUAUUAUGCUUCCUUAAUUAAUUUUUACUAAUAUAUCAUAGAUAAAAAAUAUUUAAAUAUUUUUCAAUAAUGCACAUAUAUGUUAUAGUUAAUAUUAAAUACCUUUUAGCGGCAUUUUUUCCUUUUACUAAUAUAUCAUAGAUAAAAAAGGACCUAGUCUAUUUGGUAACUAAUAUCAUAAUUUCACGUAAUGCACAAACGCUUAAUAAGCUAAAACAAACUCCACAUGACUUAGGUAGCGUUUGGUGACGGAACAGAACAUAACAUAACAGAACGGAACGGGACAGAACAUGAUGGAACAAGACAAUAAUGGUCUGUGUGUUGUGUUUGGUAACUCCUAGUCAUUAUAACAGAACCAUAAUUUUAAUUACAUAUAUAACCCUGCAUGAUUAAUAUUUGAUUGAGGAUAAAAAAAUUGAACAUGCAUAGAAACCGUUUGUUAUUUCUUAUUUCAUGAAAUAAUCACUUAUUUCUUUAAAAUAAUCACUUAUAUAUUAUUUAAGUUGUUUCAGUGUGCUUUUAAAAAAAUACAAAAUUUGAUUAUCUCUUUAAGCUAUUUUAAGUGCGUUUGUUUAGAUUAAUUUUUAGAGAUUUUGAGAAAAGCAUAAGUUUAUUUGUGUUUGACUACUCUAAUUAAAAUCGCUUUUUUUAAUCUCCUCUUGUCUAUCAUAAUAGAUUUUUAUGAUAAGUUAAAAGUAGUUUUUUCAAAUAAGUUGUUUUCAGCUUUUAAAAAAAGACGAAACGAACAUAAUAUGAUUUUUUGAAUUUAAAAAGUGAUUUUGGAUUAAAAUAAGUGAUUUUUUUAUCAAUUUUAUAAGUGAUUUUUUUAUCAAAAAAUUGAUUUUUCUAAAAUAAGUUGAAUCAAAUGAACUAUAAUUGGCUCGUUUGUCCACUGCUUAAAAAAGUGAUUUUUCUUUUGACAAAAAUAAUUGAUUUUAUUUUAAGUGAUUUUUUUGAAAAACAGAAAUUAUUUAACUUUGUCUACAAAUAUAAUAAGUACUUUUCACUUUAAGAAGUGAUUUAAAACUGUUUAGAUAAAAAGAUUUCAAAUAUAAAUUAGGAGUAUUUUUAACUGUGUAAAACUUUUAAGAGAGUGUUCUGUUUCGUUCUCUUCCGUUCCACCCUUUUCCAGGGAACCAAAGUGUCCCGUUUCUUGAGCUUUUUGAACUGAUCCGUUCCAUCUUAAAAGCAUGACAAACACAGAACAUAACCCAUACGUCAUGUUCCGUUCCCUUCCCACCUGUUUACCAAACGCUACCUUAAUAUUGUUGUCCAAUAUUUUAAUAGAAGCUUUUUGUUUAGUAUCUAGAUAUCAGUAGGAUUUGAACCCUGGACUUGGAGAAUUCUAAUCCAUCAAGUAUCAUUUAAGCUAUUCAUACCAGUAUAUUUUAAUAGAAGUUGUCCACCUCAGGUGAAAAAAAAAAAGGAAUUUGUGCCUUCUCUCUAAAUUCGAACACAUGACUUGCCAAAAAAAAUAUUUUCUCCAUGACAACAUGUAUAAUUUUAAUUUGUAUAAGAACUCAGUAUAUAUUAUUUGUUAUAUGUAUUUCCGGUUGUAAUAGGUUGAACCAAUGACUCAGUGGUUGAACCAUUGAUGGGUGAAUAUUAUUAUUAUUAUUAUUAUUAUUAUUAUUAUUAUUAUUAUUAUAAAAUAAGAUGAUUUGAAAAUUUAAGGGUGGAAGAAAAUAUGCUUAUGAAGAGAAUGAUUAUCUUAGGGUCAAAGUUCUGAAUAUAUUAGUGCCUUAAUAUAGGAUUAUUAGAAAUUAAAUUGAACGAAAAUCAAAUAAAAUAUAAUACUUUGACAAAUGAUGAAAAACUCAAACCUCAUUUACACACACCUUGACUAAUUCAUAGACUUGAUUAAUUAAGCUGCAAUCAGAGGUAUUAAAUGGUGAUUUAGUGCAGAACACUUGUCUUCAUGGUGAAGUGACAAGUCUAAGAACACUUGUCUUUGUGCAUGCACUUUUAUGGCCACUUGUCCUUCAACUUUCUUCAACCCUUGCCCUAUAAAUUCGACCUUUCUGCAGCCCUAAGGUCACACCACACCUCAGGCUCAACCUUGCUUGAGAAAUCAGAGAGAGAAGCUCUCAAUUUUCCUUACAAACCUUCAACUUGUUCUUCAUUUUCUCCUUCUUGUUCUUCACGAAAUUCUCUUUCUUUUUCUCCAAAACCACUUCAAUUAUGUUUCUGGGUGUGUGAGGAUUAAAUAUGGAGAGUUUGGCAAACUUCUGGGCACGAAAUCAUCAAUUCUGGGUUCAAUCUUCAACUUCUUCUUCAUCUUCAACCUUCUCAAAUCACUCCAAAACCACCACCAUCAUGUUCCUAGAAGCCUAAAUAUCAAUUAUGGAAAGUUUUAUAAAAUUAUGGGUUGAUUUGGGCUAUUUCUGGGCUCAAUAUUCAAGUUGUUCAUCGUGUUCAUCGCUGCACCGUGUUGUCCAGUUUUCCGGCAAAAAUCGUCAACUUAAAACGUGUUUUUCUCCCUCUUCCGAACUAUGAUUGCGACGAUUCAAAAGCCUUUGUUCUUCUGGAAGAAAGGAGAAUCUGAAUCCGUGAUCCAUUUAUCUCCGGCAAUGAACGCCGCCGCCGCCGCAUCUUCAUCUUCUCCGAUGAGUUAAUUUCUGGAAAUUUCCAGAUUUGCAAUUUUCAGGUUCUUUCACUUCCAGAACCUAAUUUUUAAGCUUAUAUUAAUGAUUUUAAGCAUGGAAAACAUACAUUACAACCCUUAAUUCAUGAAAGAUUGGACUUUAAGUUUAAAUGGUCUAAAAAUGGUGACUUUCAUGAUUAUCACAACUUGAAAUUUUAUCUUUAUGUGAUUUCUUAAACUUGACAGAUUAUGAUUAUGUCAAAAUGAUGCAUAUUUUGUUAGCUUUUUCUAAUAUUAAUUUAUGGAAUUAUUAGUGAUUAACUAGUCAAAUUAAGUGGGAAAUUUCUAACAAAACUCAAUGGUGAAAUGCUAAUCUGGAAUUGAUGGUGAAAUGUUUAAGCACGAAGGAACUAAAGUGAAGAACUAACCUAAGUGUAUGAGAGCUAAUUAGUUAAGAGAAAUUAAUUAAUGACUAGAUUAACUUAUCCAAACAAAUUAAGGAUUUAUCAACUAGAAUCCUUACUUUUUCUCAUCAUUAUAAGGCUAUGAGUUUUAGAAUGAUUGAAAUGGUUAAGUAACAAACGGGAACGGAAGGUAAUUAAGAAGCGCAUGUUUUCAUGAAGUUAUAUACUAAGUGAAUUGUAACCAUAAUUCUAUGCAGAGGAAACUCAUGAGGAUUGACGAAUACGAUAAUUAUCAAGGAACUACGGUAAGAUUGGGAGGGGUCACCAACCAUGAUGGGGGAAUAAUACGAAUAAAUGAGUAUUGGACCCUCAGGUCCUUUGCCGAUUGUUUAUUGUGAAUUUGCCUUAACUUGUAUGCUUUAUGUCGUUGAGUGACUAAGUGGUUAAGAAGAUUGAAGUGAUAUUUGUCUCUUGAUGAUUUUCGUGAUUUGGAAUUAUAACCCUGAUUGUCUUGAUAGAUUAGGCUUGGCUCUGUGAGCAAGGUGAUGUUGAUAGCCUUGGCUCCGUGAGCAAGGUGAUGUUGAUGGAUUAGCCUUGGCUCUGUGAGCAAGGUGAUGUUGAUGGAUAAGUCUAGGCCCCGUGGGCGAACUUAUGUAACCCUCUGGCUCCUUGAGUAGAGGUGUGAUUGAUGAUUUGUUUCUUGGCUUUGUGAGUAAGGAUGUAUGUGCACACAUGAUUUCUCUUGGCUUCGUGAGCAAGAAUGAACCUAAGGGAUUCCCUUGGUCCCGUGGACAAGGAUUUUGAUCUUGGCUCCGUGAGCAAGAACGAUGUCUUGAUCCUGUGGACAAGGUUUGCUUUGGCUCCGUGAGCAAAGCCAUAUGAUUCUUAUGUCUGAUUAUGUAUUUCUUGGUGGAAAUGAACAUGAUAUGCAUGUUUAUGCGUGACUCAUUUAUGUUACGUUAUUCCCUGAUGAGAUUGAGUUGGAAUGCUUCUCACCUCUCUGUUGUGUGUUUUGUUGUUUUUCUCCUCUUUUAUCAGUGACAGACACUGAAGAUAGAGAUUGAGAUGUUGAGAGAUGUGGGGCAAGACUUUGAGCGUAGAUCGAGUUUUGUGCGCUGAAAUUGCAUUUUCCAAUGAUUGAACCUUGGACCUCUCUCACCCAACUCAUAUGUCCCCUAGCUCUUACCACUUGAGGACAUGUAGGCUCAUUGUUGAGUAAAUAAUAUUUAAAAAAAAUCAAUCAAAUAAAUUUUCUCAAGAAUAAAAAAAAGAGGAAAUUUUAUUAAAUUUGAGUUUAAAAGAAGGAAGUUUCUAGAACGGAAGGAAGUUUCAUUCACAAGAGGCUGAAAACCUUUCCCACACAAUGGAAGGCAUCUCGUGGAGGAUCCAUGCACGCCUCUUCCGUGGCAAUAGAAACGUGGUAACCAUCAGGAGCAUCAAUGCAAGGCAGGUCUUCGACAAGCGUGGCAAUCCAACCAUCCAGGUUGGCUUCCUCUUCCUCUUCCUCUUCCAUUUCCACACUUGCUAUUUUCUCCCCUCCCUCUUCUGACUAUCACUGCAGGUGGAUUUGACAUGCUCCGAUGAUACUCUCUCUACUUUUGUCCUCCCAGUAUCAAGCGGUGUAUCUACUGGUAUUCUUCGCUCAUUUUCCUUAGAAGCGCAAGUGUCUUUAUUUGUUUAAUUCUCUGUGUUUGUCUACUUCUCAGACUUUGUGCUUGUCUUUAAAUCCGAUGGCAUUUUCUCUUUUCUUCUAGUAUAGCACUUUCAAAAUUGACUGUGACUGAAAUAGGGCUGGUAGAUAUAGCUACUUUAAAAUGUAGCGGUGCUAUUUGGUUUGGUUAUGGUAGGCUGCUUACUCCAACUAAUCCUAUGAAAAAAAUUUUAAAUAUUUACUUUAAAAUGUUAUUAGGGAUUGACAAGGCCCUUGAAUCGAGAGACGGAAGAUCAGACUACCUUGUAAAAGGUGUAUCAAAGGUACUCUCAUGUCUCAGGAAAGGUUGUCUUGUGAUUGGUCUACCACCGUUGUAUUAUUUUCACCUAUUUUUUCUGGAACUUGCAGGCUGUUGACAAUGUGAACAACAUCAUUGCCCCUGCAUUGAUCGACAUGGUUGGUUAUAUUUACUUUUCACCUGUGUUUUUGCUGAACCAUUUUUCCUUUUAUGUUAGGAUUUGUUAAUUAUUCCCUUAGUAUUGUAGUUCUGCGAUUUUAAGCCUACAACAUUUAAGGUUAGUAAUGAUACUAAAGCUUCUUUGGAUUGAAGAAAUUUUUCUGUUUUCUUGUGUGACAAUGAAAAGGAUCCAACUCAGCAGACAGAUAUUGACAACCUAAUGGUUCAACUGCUUGGUGGAAGUGUUAAUGAAUGGGGUUCGUGCAAGGAAAAGGUGCUUAGCAGACCAUAUUUGUAAUCAUUCAUUUUUACUAUGCUAUGUGUAAUUCUAAUGCAUAUUUUGUUGUUUUAGCUUGGGGCAAAUGCCAUAUUAGCAGUGUCAAUUGCAGUCUGCAAAGCUGGUGCAAGUGUCCUGAAAAUUCCUCUGUACAAGGUAUUUGAGCAUGAACUGUGAUACUAAAUCAUUUUAAGUUCAGUCUCUUCAUGGGAUCCAUAUUGUACAAUUGAAGCUGUUCAUGCAGUUGACUAAGUUGUAUGAAAUUCUGUUUCCAAGGUCAACAUGGUAAAUAGAUGUAUACUGUCAGAUUGAUUUAAAUAAAUAUUUACAAUGAAUUAUUUGGUUACAUGAUGCAUAUCUGCAAAUUCUUACAGCAGUGCCAACAAACACCCCCCUCUCAGUUUUCUUCCGUAUUAGCAGGGAUGUUUAUAGCGGCCGAGAGGAGUGGCGGCCAGAGACCAGUUGACAACGGAAGGUGUAGUGAGGCAUUCAAGGUUCGCGGUCGCCGCAGCCGCUUUAGUGGCAAAAUUCGCCGCCAUUGCGCCACUACACCGCCACUACAAGGAUUAGGGUUCUUUGAAGGAGAAGAAGGUUCAAGAAAGUAAAAAAUACCCGUAGAAUUAGAACGUUAGGGGCUAGGGCUAUUAGUUGAGGGUGUUUUUCAUUUUUCGGUUCUAAUAGCUCAACCUAAAGAGGGCCCUGAAAAACAAAACUUUCAUUGUGCACUGCCCUCUUCCAACUUUCUUCUCCUUUAGAUCCUUACUCCUGCACCUCCACCACUUGGACCACCUUCCAGCGUUUUAGGAUGACUUUUCCAUCCUCAUUUCUCCUUCUCCUGUGUAGCGGCCUCUAUGCUCCGUUAUCCAGUAUUGACAAGCCUGGUUUUUAGCUGUUUUUGUUUAUCUGACUUCAUUAUUGCCAUUCUUUCGGUGCAGCAUAUUGCAAACCUUGCAGGUAACCCAAGGAUUGUUUUGCCUGUUCCCUCAUUCACUGUCAUCAACAGGGUAUCACAUGCAGGAAACAAACUUGCUACGCAGGUCUGCUUUCAAAGACUGUUCCGUAUGUGUGUGUGAGAGAGAUAAGUAAUGCUUAAUGAAUUUCUAUUACACCUGCCUUCGCAGGAGUUUAAUAUUCUUCCUGUGGAGAGUUCCAAUUUCAAGCUUGCUAUGCAACAGGGCAUUCAAACACAUGAAACAGUUCAUGUCAGUUUUGCAUAUUACAGUCAUUCAGCUUUCCUAAAUACGUUCUCUAAAUGAUUUUUUUCAUUAUUUAGUUAAGUUCUGGUGACGUCAUUUCAGGGUGUGAUUGCUAUGAAAUACGGUAAUAAGGCAGUACAAGUUUGUGACGAAGGUGGAUUCACCCUUAACAUCAAGGUAAAUAAUGGUUAGUAACAUUUUUUUUCUUUUUACGAAUGGUACUUGGAUACCUGCUUUCAUAUUCUGGCCAGUUACUGGUGAGCUCUUAAAUGAUCAGGAAAAAGAAUGUUUGGAAUUGCUGAAAAGUGCCAUUGACGAAAGUGAAUACACAGGCUCGGUUAGUUUUACCCUUAUCAAACUUCUGCUUAUGAUGCUUUGGCUUUUUAAAUGCCUUCAUUUAAGGGCUCAACAAUUUGUCUUAUGUUCUUAGGUUUUAAUUGGAAUGGAUGUUGCACCUUAUGCAUUCCGCAAUGAAGACAAAGCAUAUGAUUUGAAAUUUAAGGAAGAUGUGAGCUCUCUAUUAUCUCCUCCAGUACUGCUAAGUGUUAAUUUUUGGUCUAGUUGGAAAGUGAUGGGAACCAAAUAUCUAAUUCCAGAUAAAUAUGGAUAAUUCCCAAUUACAGAAACAUUCAUAUUAUAUAGACUCUCACACUCAAGAAGCAGAAAGGUAAAGGAAAACACUCACAAAGAAAAAUAUAAAGACAGAGAAAACUUGAAGGGUUUGCCAACCUCCCUGCCCAAAGGGCCCAAAACCACUAAAUUUAUGCCUAUGUCUACUAACCACUUUCUUUGCAUUCAUCAUAUUAAAUAUAAUAUUAGUUGCUCUUCUCACUCAGUUGUAGCUGAUAAUUAUAUAAAAUUAAAUAUUCACCAUUCUGUCCUGCUUACUCAUGUUUGCUGAUCUUCUACUUCCAUCCUCUUUCAUGUAGCAUUCACAGAAAGUAAGCUUAAGGAACAUAAAUAUAUUAUUUUGGCACACACAUGGGCAUAAAUGAUAAAACCUCAUAUUCUGUUUGCUAGUUUUUCCAAUUAACUUAUAUAUUCCAGCAUUCAUUAACGUAUGAGUUAGUAACAUAUAUGGUGAUACAUAUUUAAAUUAUUUAUUUGCUUAGCAUUUUCUGUUUGUCAUUCAGAACAACGAUGUCUCACAGAAGAUCUCUAGGGAUGCUUUGAAAGAUCUCUACACAUCAUUUGUGAAGGAGUACCCAAUUGUUUUAAUUGAAGAUCGUUUUGACAAGGAUGACUUGGAGCCCUAUGCCAAGCUGACUGAAGAAGUUAGAGACCAUGUGCUAAUUGAUGGUGAUGUUCCCUUGGUCUCCUUCCUGAAGGUUUGCACUUUACAAAAAACUCCUCCCCCUCCCUCAAAAAAUAUUUGUAUCUGUUGGCUAAGACUAGAGGGGUUGUCCUUUGACUUGUUACCUCUUGUAUUGUGUCCACAGAGGGUUCCGAUGGCAAUUGAGUCAAAGUCAAAUACAGAAAUAUGCAAUUGUCUUAUGCUCAAGGUACUCGAAUUCUGUCAGGAAUAUUUUAUUGAGAAAAGUUAUUGGAUCUCAUUAGACGUCAACCUAUAUUUACCAAUAUUGAUUGAAACAAACCCAAAACAUGCAGGUUAGUCAAAUGGGAUCUGUGACUGGUUGUAUUAAAACUGUCAAAAUGGCCAAAGAACAUUUUUGGGGAGUCAUUGCCUGUCCCGGAAGGUUUGAAUCUGUCUUUAAAUGCAAAUGAUGCUCAUGCUGGUGAAAAAGUUGAGUCAAUCACUAUAAUAUACUAACGUUCUACAUAUUGGUUGCAGUGGAGAGACUGAGGAUACCUUUAUUGCUGAUCUAUGUGUUGGUUUAUCAAUGGUAUUGCCUUAUUUUAAUUAAACUUUUGUGAACUUGCGACUUGAAGUCUAACUGUGGAAAUGUUCUCUUGAACAGGGUCAAAUUAAGGUUGGAAAUCCAUUCAGUGAUCCGCGACUGGUUAUACAUCUUCGGGUUAGUAAUAAUGGUCAUUACGCUAACUUCAGCUUUCAUAGUUAAGCCUUUUUUUAAUGCUUGAAGUUCACUUGGCAGCUCAAGAAAAUUGAGAUUGAGCUUGGUUCGGAAUCAUUGUAUGCUGGCUGGAACUUCCGUCACUGGUGACUGUGAGGCGCAGCUUGUUGCAAAUGGUAUUUUAUACCCUUAAAGCUGAGGCAAAAAGCAGUAGUACAUUUUGAUGUUACGUGAAAUGGGAGUUACGUGCCAUUUUAGCAUUUUUGAUGUUGUAAAUUGGAGUUAUGUGCCUUUGUAAUUAUCAUGUGACCAUCAAAAUGCUAAAAUAUUGGAAAAGCACGAUCUGAUCUCAAUGACUUAUUAUAAAACAUUAUAUUAUGUAAGACAAUUUAACAUUAAUAAUAUGGUAUCAAGUGGUAUAGAAUUAGUCUUAUUACCUCCACCACAGUGAUAAUAAAAGGUUGGAUUUCUAAUUGUUCGUGAGUCUUCUAAAUCAACAUGAAGUCCAUUGGGUUUUCCAUGCUCAUAUUGGGUUAGGUAGAAGAUCUUAUGUGAUCAAUAUGAAACCUUAUUGUUACGUUUGUCUCUUAUGUCAACAUGAAGUCUGAUUAGGUUUUAGGAUUAAAAAAAUUCUGAUGGGGUCACAUGAGCGGUGAACAAAACCCACCUUGGCUUGAGGAUCCAUCCCAAGUGUUUAGGGUCGGGUUGGACCCAUGGAUAAAAAAAUAUGCGUUACUUCAAAUCUGGUAUUGGGUCGAGGGUCAAUUUGAACUCAUCCUGAAUAUGUAAAUACUAGUACUUUUACCCGUGCGAUGCACGGGGGGUUAUUCAUUUUUGUUUAUCGUAUGUAUUUUUUAUUUCUAAAUUUGUGCUUUUUUAAUGUUUAUAGAAAGAAAAUUUAUGAAUUAAAAGAACAAAAUUAAUUUUAGAUAUAAGCAAACAUAAAUUUGAAUUAUGUUUCAAGUGAUGAGUGUAUUUGUUUUUAUUUUGCAGAAGCGCAAAAUGUUUAUUUUUUUUAUGGUUUUUGUCCUUACUUUUCUUCUAUAAGUUUUGAUUAAAAAUGUACUAACCACUGCGUUGCAUAAGAAGUCUUCGUCUAUGUUUACCAUCACUUAAAUACUCUCAAGUUUUUUUCCAAACAAAUCAUGCCCUUAAAAGCUGAUAUGAUAAUAGUAAAGUAGCAAAAAGUCUUCUAAGAUUGUUAGCAGUACUGCAAUGCAAAGCUUUUAUUACUUCACCAGUGUAUUCUGGAUCAUCUUCAAGUAAGCUCAUCGUAUAGCACACGUACUUAAUGUGUCAUAUGAAACUUCGUAUAUAUUUUUGUUAAGUUAGGAAAUGAAUGAGCCCCUCUGUAAAAUUUAGCAAUAACCUCAGAUAAUUUUCACUUUUUUAUAACCUUUAAUUUCUCAAAAUAUGUGCUUUUUUUAUUACAUUUAUCAAGAGAAAUUUUAUGAAUUAAAAGUAUAAAACUAAAUUUAGAUAAAGAAAUCAUAAAUUUGAAUGUUUUUUUUUUACCCUGAAAAAACAUGAAAAGAAAAACUCUAUUUGUAAUUCAUGAAAAAUUAGGAAGAGUCAAUUAUACAUAAAAACUGUCUAAUAAAAAGUAGGAUGGAACUAAGAGGAAAUCAUUACAAAAUCAAAGAGCAAGUUAUAGCACAUUUAUACAUUCUAAGCUGAAACAUCAGUAUUUAUUCAAUGUUAAUACGUCAACACAGACUAUACGAAGUGCACAUUUUAAAUGAACGGUGUUACUAAUAUAUAUAGUUGUAGGAAAAAUGGUUAGUGGAAAAGUUAUUUUUUUGGAGUGAUAUCAUAUUUAGUAUUAAAACCACCACAUGUAUUCAUAUUAUUUUUAAUUAAUAAAUAAUUAAUAAUUCUCUAGAUCAAAACAUAUUAAUUGUCUCCUAUGGAAUGCUCUAACUUAUAUGAACUAAAUAGUAAUGAACUAAAUAAUAAUAAACUCAUUUAAAAAAUUCUAGGUAAAUAAUUAAAGUUUUAAUAGAAUUAUAAACUAUUUAAUUUAAUACUUAUAUAGUUGCCGGGCGCGCAAAGGAAUAAUGAGAAUGUUAUUUUCUGCAUUGAUAUGAUAUUAAAUCCACCAUAUUUAUCUUUUAUGGAUUCAUAUUAAUAUUAAUUAUUAUUUAACUUACUUCAUGUUCCGGUUAAUAAAUCAUAUUUGUUCUGUUUUUAAAAGAAAUUAUUAUUUAACUAAUAAUUCAAUAAACCAAAACUAACUUUGUGUGCCCUAUGAAAUUUCCUAACUCAUAUGAACCAAAUAAUAAUAAAUAAUUUUUAUAUAUUUUGAGGUAAAUAGAAGAAGCAUAUAACAUGACAUUAAUGGGAGAAUUGAAACCGUCAAAUAGAAUUUCAAGUGGAAGGGAUAAUGAAAAUGUCAUUUUUCAUCUAUAUCUGAUUUAAUAUUAAAAUAUCUGAAUUUCAUAACUCAUAUGAAACAAAUAAUAAUAAAUACUUUUCAUAUAUUUUGGGGUAAAUUGAAGAAGGAUAUAACAUGACAUUAAUGGGAGGAUUGAAACCGUCAAAUAGAAUUUCAAGGGAAGGAAUAGUGAGGUCAUUUUUGCAUCGAUAUCAUACAUUUUCUAUUAUUAUUUAAAAUAGAGUUUAUAAAAAACAAUUCUUAACAUACUACUUCAUUUUAUUUUUGAAUUAAAGAUGAUAAAAUGCCCAAAAAAUUAAUUUCAAAAAAAUAUAAAUGAACUAUAAAUAUUUAAAUUUAAAAAAUAUAAAAAAUGCAUAUUGGUUACGUAUUAUUAUAUGCAUAAAAAGGGGUUGCGAAAAUAGACAUUUAGGAGUUACAUAGAAAUUAAAAAAAUUAAUUAUUAGAAGUUUUAAAAUUAAAAAUAAAAAAAUCUUACAAUAUUAUUUCAUUUCAUUUGUGAAUUAGAAAAAAUAAAAUGCAUCAAAAAAUCAAUUUCAAAAAUAACAAUGAACUGUAAAUAUUUAAAAUAAAAUAAAUAAAUAAAAAUUGAUAAAAAUGUUAUUAAAAUAAGUCUAAAAAAUGCACAUUGGUUACAUUUUUUUAAUAGGAAAAUGUUAGUUGUUAGUAAAUUAGUCUUUCUUAGAGAUCGAACCUUGGAACCUUCACCCUUCACCCUCCGAAACCCUUAUGUCUCAUAGCUCUUACCACUUGAACUAAUUUUCGGAGACGCAUAUUGAUUACAUAGUAUUAUGGCUAAAAAGCAUUUUUGGCCCCUGAUGUUUUAAGUUUGUGCAAAUUCUGCCCCUAUCUAUUUUGUCGAUGUUUCUACCCCUCAUGUUUUUAAACAGUGCACCAUCUACCCCUCACGGAGGGGUAGACGGUGCACUGUUUGAAAACAUGAGGGGUAGACGAUGCACUGUUUGAAAACAUGAGGGGUAGAAACAUCGACAAAAAUAGAGUAGGGGCAGAAUUUGCACAAACUUGAAACAUCAGGGGCCAAAAGUGCUUUUUAGCCUAGUAUUAUAAGCUUAAAAAAGUAUUACAAAAAAAAGUAAUAUCAUUAGCAUUUUUUAAUAGCAAUUAAUAUAAGCAUCAGAAUUUCACAAUUUAGCAGUAGGAUUUAGAAAGGUGCGCGCCAGCUUUUACGUGCAUUUGUGUUGUUACCCAUAUUUUUGUAAUAAUUCAGCCAUUAUUAGAUAAAGAAAAACAAUAUAAAAACCUAUCUUUAGCGGAUACAAUAGAUAAAAUUAAAAAAAAAAAACUAACAAAUAAUGAAGGGCAACUUUUAGAAGAAGGCGAUAUUGAAAUAUACAAAAUUGGAUAGAAAUAGAAAUAUAUAAAUAUAAAUGAUACAAAAGAAUAUUCCCUUCCUAAGCUAACUAACUAAUAUUAGUCCAAGCUGAAAUCGGCAGCAGUUGCAAUUCCUUUGUAAUGAAAAAGGGAUGUGAGAUACCACAGACCUAACUCCCAACUCAAAAAGAAAAUAGAAACAGUCAAAAUGUAAGUUCUUUGGUAGGUGUCAAAAAUAGAAACUGUGAGAUAAAAAAAUGAGGCCAUAAUAAUCCUUUGUAAUUCCUGAUCCAUCCAGCACAAAUGUCAAUGUGGUAGGCACCUUAGUGCCCUUGGACUGCUGGUAAUUCUUGAAAAUGAACAGUAACAAAGCUAGCUUAUCAAACGUAGAACCUUCAAUAUUUACACCAAUAGGAGAAAGUGUUAUUGAACUGCUGGUAGUUUUGAGCAUAAAGGUUCUGAGAGUGGUUGAAGGAAGUCAUUCUUGGAAUGAAAUGUUAGCCAAUGCAGAGGAGAAAUUAACAUGUUCUUCCCAUUCUUGAUUGUUGCAAUUCCAAAUAGAUUAAAGCCACAUGAUUGUUGAUGGCAGAGAGGUACUGGCAACAUACGAAGAUCCUUAUUUGUUAGCAAAAUCAUUCCUGAGGUAGUCCAGACCAGUAGAUCCCUUAAUCAAAGGCUGUGUGCUUUGCUUAACUCUUUCUUAAGAAUCUGUCACAUACAUGGUAAUGCAUUUUUCUCAAAUAAAGUCUACAGGAAGAUAAAUACCAUGUCCGGUUUGAUGAGAAGUAAGGUUUUGUGCACUACAACAAAGUACAAACCAAGCAAAUUGAUUGAAAGUUUGAGUCUAUUUAAAUGGACAUCCAAUAAUAGCACAUCCCAAGCCAAUAUGAAAUACACCAAACAACUACACUUAAAAGCAGUGGCAAGUUAAUGUUUACCUUAGAAGCAUCCCUUUGCUUUUCUUUCAUGACAGUAGCCAGUGCUGGUUCAAACUCACCUUUUCGACUGGAAUACGAAGGGAAUAUAAUUAAUAGAGAAAGAUAUUGAGAACUUCACACCUUUGCAAUAUAAAAAUUCUCUCUCCCAUACUCUCUCAAUUCAUGCCUAAAUCAAAAUUGAUCAUGCAUGAUUGAGAAGCAUUUUGGUAAUACAGAUAUAUAGACGACAUCUUACACUAAUGGAUAGUGCAUGAGAAUACGAAAUUAGAUAUUAAAUAUCAAUUUUAAAACUAACACAUGGAUUAGAAUGAAGAGUUGAAACAGUUUUGAAAACAAAUUUCAGUAGUGCACCUUAAGAAACUGUGAAUAGGUUCAUCUCACGUAACAGAACACUGCAUAGAAAACCAAAUAAUAGGUACAUUAAAACUACUACUAAUAGAGUAUUUAUAACCAUAACAAUGUACACCAAGGCACGUGGAUAGUUAAGGAAUGAAGGUCCAAGCAAUUUGAUGUAUUUGGGCAGUUUCACUUGUCUUAUUAGAGGUGUCAGAGAGCCUCACACCCAUCUGAACUAUGGAAAAAUAAAACAUACUAUUUUUUGAACCCAAAACUUGACUUGCAAAGGCUCUAAUCCAGCUCAUAGCGCAACGAAAAGUACCUGAAAGUUAAAAACUUGCUAGAAUAUCACGGAUAUUGUAAGGAGUGAAAUUGUUGGUAAAGAAUCAACAGUAUGGUCUGUGAGCAGCAGUGAUAGAAGAAACUGCACAAAAGAACCUCCUCGUGAUCUUUCUUUUGCUGGUUCAGAUCAUUUUAAAAAUACAUGAGAAGAGAAGAUAUGAUGAAUAGAUUGAAUAAUGAGGAAUAAGAGGGGGGAGAUAGAUGUUAAACCAUAAGUAAAUUUCUAAAAAGAUGAAGCAGCAGAGGGUGAUGAGUAAGAAAUUAGGGAUUAUUUAGCUCAGGGAGUCCAACAUGUGUGUAACCAAAUGAAAGAUUCAGGAACUACAAAAUGAUGGAAAAAACACUCCUUUUAUGGGAAAGCAAACAGAAAAAUGGUGAAAGUUCUUACCGUGGGAACAUAAGAGAACGUGAUCGGUGAGCUUCAAAGGAAAUGGAAGAAGAUGCCGCAGUGUGAAGACAGAACGGUACCCUGCGGAAUCGGUUUAAUUUGCCAAAAGAAAUAGAAUAAAUAAAAUGAAAUGAGUUUGGGAUGAAGAACAUGUCAAAUCCAUAUCCAUAACCACAUGAACAUCAAACGGGGAAGAGGAUGGCAAAGGUUUGCACGAAUGAGUUGCACGCAAAGUAAAUAAUGGAUCCCUCAAAUUCAGUAUCUCCAGAGCAGAACUGCGGAAAAUUUAAAAUGAAAGAGAAGAUGAGAUCGUCAAUCACAUAGUAAGGUCAACUGGAUGAACAAAUGGGAAAAAAAGGGAAAAAGCAAAUGAACCUUCACCGCGGAAAUGAGAGGAUAUACUCUCUCAAUUCAUGCCUAAAUCAAAAUUGAGCAACUGCAAAAUGUUUUCCAACGUUAAAGGUGAUCAAAUAUCAAUGUCGAGAUCAUUGUAACAAUUAAGGACCUGUAUGGUUAUAAUUAAAUUUCAUGAAAUUUCACAAUUUGUCCCAAUCUUUAAACCCAAACCAUUCACUCAACUAAUUAAGCUAUUACAUGGUGAAAAAGAAAAAGAAAAAGAGUCAGGGAAAGCACCUAUCAAUUGACCUUAAUUUUGGGGACAAAAUGAUCACAUUUCAGUUCUCUGUCUCAGUAUUUCCAGAGCGAACGGGCAAACACCAAUUGAACCAAAUGAACAACCUGCCUUGCCUUUCCUUGCCUUGAUUCUCCAUAUGCAGCAACAAUUCCUUGACAUUCUACACUUAAAACUUCAUCAGCUCCAAUACUAUGAUUAAUUUCAUGUCGUGGCACAGGAAUUUUUAACUUUAUGUUAACAAAAUAAAACAUAAGUUCAUUUGAGAUUAAAACAAAAAUCCCAAAAUCAACUAUAGCAUAGGCAGCCACAAUUAUGCAGAUGAAAAGUUGACUGUGUUUUAUUUUUAGAGUGAAGAAAAAAAAGGUAAAAAUUAAGGAGAAGCACUUACAGAAUUGUGAAGCCGCAAAGGGCUGCGAUUUAGACACAAUACCUGCGAAGAACAAAACACGGUGAGGAAGAACAUAAAGAAAACGAAAGCAUAAAAAUAAUGAACAGGCCUGUAGUGCACAUAUAGAACAAUGAAGCAAGGAAUAUGUGAAGAACAAAAAAGAAGUGAAAGGAAAAUCAAAGAUAAGAAGCGAGGCUUCAACCAAGAGCAGAGUAAGAAGAGCGGAUUCACAAAUAGGGAUAAAAUGGAGGAGAAGAAGAUUUUUAUCACCUGCUGUGCGAAUCUCGCAGUCUACCUAUCUCACACCACACACAGUUCCUAAUGGACGGAACAGAUUCCUCAGUUCGCCAUCUACCUAUCUCCCCUACCUCGCACGCCGCCGGAGCCCUCAGGGUCUUCACCUCGUCGCCGCUGCGGAAAAAACGACAGGCACAACUCUGGGGUUAAAGAGAGGGCCUUGCGAUGUAAUGGGGAGAGGAAUCUCUGGCCUCAACAUCGCAAACAAAGAAAUAGAAGAGGGAGAGAGGCGAAGAGAGUGAAGAUAUGGAGAGUGGAGACAUUCCAACUUCCAAGUGAACGGAACAAUUGAGAAACAAAAUGGAAGCGAGUGGAAAACGAAACGGAAGGCUGAGGAAACGGAAGGAGAAAAAGAAACGUAAGAAAAGGGAAAGGCUGAGGGAAAAUGUGAUUGAGGAAUAAACGGCUAUGAUCGAAUCUUGAGAAAUAAUGUAUACUUUUACUAAAAUGUCCAUGCUAAAAAUUAGAUUAUUGUGCAUUAAGGUGUUGAAUGACUGAUUUGCCCGCAAGGCUGCAGAAACUCUGCUUUUAUAUAUAGUAUAGAUAGAUAGAUAGAUGUUAUAUGGGUAGGGGUGGAAAUAGGUCAGACGGCUCGUCAGGGGCCUAUGGUUCGGCUCGUUUGAGGCUCAGCUCAGCGCGGCUAGUUUAUUAAAAAGGUCAGGCUUAGGCUUUUCAAAAGGCUUAUUUAACUAAAAAGGUCAGGUCCAAACAAUUUAAAAAGCCUAUUUGGCCUGAUAGGCCGGCCUACUUAUAUAUUAUUUUUAUUAAUAAUAUAAAAAAAUAUAAUUUAAUUAGAUAUAAUUUAAUUUUUUUUUAAACUGAUGUAUACUUUAGUAUAAAAGAAAACCAUAAGUCUAUACCCUAACCUAGAUUAGAAACACAUAUUCAGCAUAGCACAUCCUGAGUCACAUAGCUGCCACUGUCGAUCUGGCGCUGCCAAGUCCACCUCUCAUGCAAUGAUAUAGGUUUAGUUUUUGAAAUGCAAUAAUAUAAGUUUUUUUAUUUGAAAAGAAAGUGCAAUGAUAUAUAAAAGGCUUAUUAGCCCGCCGGCCUAAUGACCUUCUUUUGAUAAAAUUGUCUGUUAAAUAGGCUUUUAAGAAGGCUUGUAGGCCAGGUCAGGCCUUAGAAAAAGUCAAGUCAAGUCAUAAAAUUUGACGUAUUGAUAGGCCACAGGACAGGCUUAGGCCACGAAAAGAGAAUGCAGGCCAAGCCUAGGCCACGUAAAGCUUGGCUCGGCUCGGCCUAUUUCCACCCCUAUAUACUGGUAAAUACCCAAGUUGGUCCCUGAAAGUGUCAGGCGCUGUCAAGUUAGUCUCUAAACUUUAAAAACUCAUCCUGCGGUCCUUGAAUGUGGCAAACGUUAUUCAAAUUAGUCCCUGACGUUAAAAAAUGUAACGGGACGUAAACAAAAUCUUUUUUUUUUCCCUAGUUGGACUACCUACGUGGAACUGGAGUGUUGGUAAAACAUUUAACAAAACUAGAUACGAAAAAAAUAUCCAACCCAUAACAAUCAAACAAGAGAAAUAAUUAACCCAUUCCUAGCUUCAACAAUAAAAUACCAUAGCCCCAACUUACAUUCCAGUGUCUAGAAAAUCUGUAAUUUGAGCAUAAGACUAAAGCACUUGCUUAAAUAUUAUAGCUACUAUCCAAUUGCAUAAUCAAAUACACAAACCGCACACACUGAUCCAAUCUAAAAGUCCUUUAUGUUCAAUUUCAUCAUGACCCAAUUCAGAGGCAAAGAGAAUCUUCUUGUCCAGAAUACCACUUCCAUGGGUAGCCCAGAUACACAUAUUUGCAAUGGAACCAAACGAUUUCUAUCUAAGCCACAAUCAACCGUUAAGCUUACAACUUUCCUCAUUUCCUCAUCUCCAAGCCAAAUCAACUCCCCUUCAGCACUGAUCUGAAGCUUUUCUCACCAAACACUGUAAACCCAACAUCCGUAGCCACACCCACUUUCCGCAACCAAACCAACCAGCCUCCUUCCUCAGUGGCGGAUCCAGGGCCCUGGGAUCAGGGGGUUCAAAUUUUACAAAUGAACACAUCGGUAAAAAUAUAAUUAAAAACAACUUUAAUAUGUUCAUACAUUAGAAAUUAUACAAGUCAUAGAUGUCCUUUACGUGAUUUCAUAUUUUGAAAUCGUUGAACAACUUACACUAACACUAGCGAUCAUUUUCUCCCCUCAAUCAAGGGAAAACUGAAUAAAGUUAAAUCUUGCAUAAAACUUGCAGAAAAAUAUAAAAGCGACUUUCUCUUAUCAUUUUACUUACUAACAAAUCAUCAUUUUGCAAAAUAUCUUAGUUUAAAUUGACAAACUGAGGUGAGAAAUUUAAACUGAAAACACCAUAAACAUAUACUAUUCUCAUUGAACGUUUCCAAUUCAGUAAAGAUCAGAUAAAUGAAUAAUUCGAUUGUCUCAAGAACUAAGUAACUAACUCAAAACAGAAAAAUUGAACAAAUGAAGCAUAAUUUGAAAUUGAACUAUUUUGCAGAUGAUGAUUUUGAUUGCUUCCAAACAAAAUGCAGAACAAUUCAAACACCAAAAUUGAUACAACACACGCUAGAUCUCCAAUGAAUGUUGAAAAUUGCUUCAAAAUUUCAAGAAAUCAAGAAAACUCAGUAUAAACAACAUCACAUCUCGAUCGGCAUGAAUUGCAAUCUACGGCACCAAACAAAUCAAAAUGACAGCACAACUAGAAGUGAGUGUGUGUGUGAGAGAGAGUGAGAGGAGUAAGUGAAUGUUUGGUGCAAAUAAGUGCAAAACUUUGUCUAUUAGCAUAAUUUAAAAUUUUCAGGGGGUUCAAAAGAAAUAUUAUAUAAGGGGGUUAGUGCAAAUUAUUUUUGUUCAUAUGAACCCCCUCAUGUUAAAGUGACUCUGUCACUGUCCUUCCUCAUUCAAACCUCCGACCCAGACUACCGCUGUUUCAUCUCAGUUCGUUUCUCAUUUCCGCUUCAUCUUCUCUUCUCUCUGUCAUGUGUAUGCAGAUUUGAAUCUGAGAUGCUCGCUCCUCCAUCCUCUUUGAUAUGAAUCUGCUUCUCUGCUUCUCACGAUGGAGUUUUGAAAGGUUUGAUUUUGUGGGAUGUGUUUGAUUUUCUCAAGAUUGAGUUUUGAUUUGAUGGGUUUGGUUGAAAGAAAGAGAUGCAUUAUGUUGUCGAUACGAGGAGAACCAUCUCUGUUCAAUCUUGUCUCUCAUUCCCCAAAAAGCAGUACUCAGAUCUGGGUUUCAAGGAUUCGAACACAAAUAUGAGAUUUAUCUUCGUUGAGGUCUUGACCAAGGUGGUUUACGUGGUGGAGGUUGUGGGUCGUUUAAAUGGGGAUGUGGCUGGAGUGGUGGCUGGAGGGGGUGGAGUUUGGGUUUUUUGGGAAGUUGAAGAAGGUGAAGAUGAACAAGAUGAAGAUGAAGAAGAAGAAGUUGAAGAUUGUGUUAAUUUAAUGGGGGGCUAAAUUGAGGUUAAUUUUUUUCCCCAGCUUUCAUUUUACACGUGGACACUCCAGCAUGGAAAAAAAUCCAUCUCAGCAUUUUCGUUAACGUCCGUCAUCGGUUUUAACCCCAAGGACUAAUUUGAAUGACAUUUUCCACAUUCAAGGACCGCGGGAUGAAUUUUUAAGUUUAAGGACCAACUUGAAGGCGCUUGACACAUUCAGGGACCAACUUGGCUAUUUACCCAUGUUAUACUAAUUACUUUAGGUACUUAAGGUCGUGUUUGACCUAGCUUUUUUAUAACUUAAAAGUUACUUUUAAGUAAAAGUUUAAAAUAAGAGCUUUAAAUAAAAGUAGAAGUUGUUUGUCAAAAAAUUCCGUAAAAGUUACUUUUAAGUCAAAAUUUGUUUGGUGAAUUUUUCUUUUGAGAAAUUGAUUUUAUUUAAAUGGAAAUCAUCAUCUGAUUCUUUACUUUUUUUUUUUUUUUGCUGCAUUGGAAAAACUACAAAAGGGUUAAGGAAUAAAAGCAUAAUCACUCAGCAUAAGAGUCAUAAUCUCCAGCUGAGGAUUGUCCCAUACAUGGACACCAGGUUGCAAACUUUCCGCACCCAAACGAGCCAGACGGUCUGCCACCCUGUUGGCAAUCCUGUUAACAGGUUGCAGCACCACAAUCCAAUCUCUAAGAAGCCAAUUGUUGAUGUCCUGAAGCACUGGCAUGAACCGGGUCCUCUCUUGGUCGCCAAGGGAUGAGAUCAACUCUUGACAAUCAACCUCGCAUAUGAGGUUCCUGAAGCCAAGCUGCCACCCACACUCCAAUCCAUCACGGAGCGCCGUAGCUUCCGCCAGGAGCGGGUUACCGCCGGUUUCAAAGGAGAUGAAGCCACCCAUCCAUGUUCCCUUGCUGUCACAGAACACACCACCGCCACCCAUGCGACGAGGUUCUCCACCAAAGCUUCCAUCAACGUUCAGUUUCACCGUUCCCGCUGGCGGAGGCUUCCAACUAUCACUCAUAUGUUGGUUCCCGUUCUCAACAUUGAGGGGAUCCUGGAAAUGGAUAAUUUCAUCAUAGUCAUGGCAGAUGCGACGCCAAGCCUCCUGCAGUGUCCAAGGAGAAGGUUCAAACAACAUGUUGUUUCUCCAUCUCCAAAUGCCCCACAACACCACCACAAAUUGAACUCCGAUGCUGCUUCGAGCUAGAUUAGUGACCCAUCUUCUGGGAUCUUGCUGCAGAAAAUCAUCUCUGGACAGGAUUCCCAAACGAAGCCAGAUUUCCCUCGAAUGAGGGCAAUCCCUCAUGCAAUGAAGGAUCGUUUCUUCCCCUCCUGAGCAUCGGGUGCACCGCGAGUCUUGGCUCAAAUUGCAUCUGAAACGAUACGUAUUAACCUGCAAAGAUUCAUGACAGAUAAUCCAGAUAAAAAAACGCAAUUUCUCAGGGACUGCAAGCUUCCAAAUCCAGUUCCACAUCCCUGUUGGGGCCUGCGAAUGAUCCUGGGCAUGGAGCUAGGCAUAUGCGUCCCUAGUGGUGUAGCACCCUGUCGGAUUUCCAUCCCAAAUCCAUAGGUCAGAUCUCCCCCCUUGAAGCACUGGAGCAAUCAGGUUCAAUUUAUCUCUGAAGAUGGGAGGCAUCUCCGUAUAGGCCCGUUGAAAAUUCCACUGGUUGCCUUGAAUCAGGUCUCGAAGACUCAACCUGGUGUCUGCAAUAUUAACGAAAGGAAGCUGGUGGGCUAGGGCACCUAACCCGCUCCAAUCCGCAUACCAAACGGAUGUGUCGCCGCUCCCAAGACGAAACCGAAAGCCAUUAUGAAUUUUGUCUCUUGCCCUAAGAAUACCUCUCCAAACAAGUGAGUCGGAGGUACGGUGAGGGGCAUGUAAAAUUGAGGAUGCUGUCAAAUAUUUGUUAGCAAGAGCCUGGACCCAGAGUUUGUGAGGGUGAUGCAUGAUACUCCACACAGCUUUACCUAACAACGUUGUGUUUGCUAUUGCCAUGUCCCGAACACCCAAACCGCCUCUCUCCUUCCUUGUGAUCAACCAGUUUGUUCCAACCAAUCAAAUGCCAACCUGGUCUACCUGAGCCCUUCGACCAAAUGAACGAUCUCAUGGUCUUGUUGAUCUGAUUUAAGAGCCCUCUAGGAAGCCAAAAUGCUUGCAUGCAGUAUGUGGGGAUAACUGAAAUCACAGACUUCACCAAACAAACCCGACCAGCCAUGUUCAACAUAUUUGUCUUGUUUUAAGGAAUUGUUUUUUAAUAAAACUAAUAACAAGGCAUAUGCACAAAGCAUCUUCAUUUCCAUAGGAGUACUGUUCAUACAACACUUCCAGUGAAGAAAUCUUUGUUGCGAGGUGGUGUUUGCUUGGAGAAUGAUUUCAAGCCAGAAUAUAUCCGGAUGAUGAAGCCAAAAUUAAAUGAAUUCCCCCACCGCCGCACUUAUUCCUAUCUCUAGUCUGUCAAAGCUGAUAUGAAUUGGACUGCAUAAAGGGAAGCAACAUCACACCACUUCCCAGUUUUGCAGUCGUCACCCAAACCGUACAUGGAAUCCAUCCAAGAGUUUAGUCCCCGAGCUUAUAGCCCACUUCAAAACACAAGUGGUUGAAACAUUUUAUCAUAUGGUGAGACUACAAAACCCAUAAAAACACAAAACGCAACAGAAUGUAAAAUCCAUAAAACCCCAUAAAAUGUAAUUGACACCAAGGAUUGAUAGAGAAUAAGCAGAAAUAGUUUUUGUCAAAAUAAGCAGAAAACUCAAUCUCUUUAAUUUGCUUCAUGGCUAUUAGCUCCAUCAACAGAGAUAUUAGAUUCUGAUCUGGAAGCCAUAUUUGGAGGGAACCUGAUCUCCUCUCUAAGAUUGCAGAGGCAGAGCACUUUUGAUGCCCAUGUGCUUUCCUCAACCUAGGACAAGGAGAAGAUCGCUAAUCCUUGAGAAGAUGAUGGCUUCAUCUCGAGUAGACAUGGGCGAGUGGGCGACUUCAGCGUUGUCGCAAUCUAUUCUAAGAAGGUGACCUUCCUUUUUCUAGAACGAAGAAGAAGAUGAAUCACGAACAGAAUAAGACGUAGGAAAGAUAAGUUGCUUAUAAGUAAAAAGCUCAUCUCCAUAACUUUUUUUUCUUAAAAGUUACUUAUUUCUAUUUUAUGUUGUAAAAAAUAAGUAACUUUAAUUUUUAGAGCUUUUUAAAAAUUAUGUUUGACCUAACUUAUCUUAAAAGUAACUUAAAAGUAAAAAAAAAACUGGCGAAACACUACCUUAGAAAUUUAAUGUUUCUUGGCUCUGUUCCAUUUCUCUUAUCUAUGGUGCUAAUGAUAACUUUCAUAGCUUGUCACCAUAUCUGUUUCUAUUUGUUUUUUAUUUGAAAGCUGAAUCAAAUAUAUAUUAAAAAGCCUCAAAGGGAGCAAAGAGAUCACCGGUCCAGAAACAUUGCCUCAAAACAUAUGAAACCCUCCACUAUGGCCAUUAGAGAUCUUUGAGAAUGAGUUUCAAUAAAAUCUUAUUAGGAAAAACCCAGUAGGAUAAAAACCUAAUGAAGGAAAAAAGAGUGUUCAAUUCUCAAAGAGGCCAAAAAUACACACAGACAAAACCCCACCCUUCCUCUAGAAAAAAACAAUAUUACAUAACAAAUGUUUAGCUCCAAAUUCAGAAUACACGCAUGAAGCUAAUCUACUAGCUUUCUACAGCCCCUUCCUUUAUGCAUACUUAUGACAUGCCAUUAUACUAGCCAUCCCACCAUUCUUUCAAAUAGGCUGCAAUUCACCAUUUGUGCCCCUGCAAUCACGACAAACCACCUGCACAAGGGAACAAACACCCAAGCGAAUCAAAAGAUUUGCAUACCUCAAGCGUGACCCUCAUAUGUCUGGCUUGAUUUGUUUGGGAUCUGGUCAGUAUUAGUCAUUCUGGUAACUCUUGGUUGUUACCCUUGCCCUUUCUGGGCUGUUCAUAGUUUCUGUGAUGUGGUCUUUGUGAAUAACUCUGAAACUUUAAUGUGUUGGAAAUUAUAAACAGUAUUUUGAUGUGGAAUAACAACCUAUUUUUAGAACUAGUACAGGGAGAGGAUGGGGUCACAACUCGAGCCAGAAGGACGUGGUUGGUGGGAAAGGAGUUGGGGUUGAAAGCAAGAGGCUCAGAGGUUUGGAAAGCUCAAAUUUGUGAAAACCACCCAAACCUCAUUUGAUCUCUUGCAUGGGGAACCUCUAGUUAAC